AGCCCUGGGGUGUUACACAUCAGAUUGCAAAUCUGAAGAAGCAGGCUUAAUACCUGCCAGGACUU
rnacentral:tRNA from 1 species